rnacentral:rRNA from 1 species
UACGUAGGGUGCAAGCGUUGUCCGGAAUUAUUGGGCGUAAAGAGCUCGUAGGCGGUCUGUCGCGUCGGCUGUGAAAACUCGGGGCUCAACCCCGAGCCUGCAGUCGAUACGGGCAGACUAGAGUGCGGUAGGGGAGACUGGAAUUCCUGGUGUAGCGGUGAAAUGCGCAGAUAUCAGGAGGAACACCGGUGGCGAAGGCGGAUCUCUGGGCCAUUACUGACGCUGAGGAGCGAAAAGCGUGGGGGAGCAAACAGG